rnacentral:rRNA from 1 species
UACAGAGGAUGCGAGCGUUAUCCGGAUUUAUUGGGUUUAAAGGGUGCGUAGGCGGAUCGUUAAGUCAGUGGUCAAAUUGAGGGGCUCAACCCCUUCCCGCCAUUGAAACUGGCGAUCUUGAGUGGAAGAGAAGUAUGCGGAAUGCGUGGUGUAGCGGUGAAAUGCAUAGAUAUCACGCAGAACCCCGAUUGCGAAGGCAGCAUGCCGGCUUCCUACUGACGCUGAAGCACGAAAGCGUGGGGAUCGAACAGG